GAGUGGUAGCUGAAUGGGUAGAGCGCAGCACUUUACCGCGUACCUCUGCGAUGCGGGUUCAAUUCCCAC
rnacentral:tRNA from 14 species